rnacentral:rRNA from 1 species
CCUACGGGUGGCAGCAGUGAGGAAUAUUGGUCAAUGGACGAGAGUCUGAACCAGCCAAGUAGCGUGAAGGAUGACUGCCCUAUGGGUUGUAAACUUCUUUUAUAUGGGAAUAAAAUGUUCCACGUGUGGGAUUUUGUAUGUACCAUAUGAAUAAGGAUCGGCUAACUCCGUGCCAGCAGCCGCGGUAAUACGGAGGAUCCGAGCGUUAUCCGGAUUUAUUGGGUUUAAAGGGAGCGUAGGUGGAUUGUUAAGUCAGUUGUGAAAGUUUGCGGCUCAACCGUAAAAUUGCAGUUGAAACUGGCAGUCUUGAGUACAGUAGAGGUGGGCGGAAUUCGUAGUGUAGCGGUGAAAUGCUUAGAUAUCACGAAGAACUCCGAUUGCGAAGGCAGUUCACUGGACUGCAACUGACACUGAGGCUCGAAAGUGUGGGUAUCAAACAGGAUUAGAUACCCUAGUAGUC